AUCGGAGGCGGCUUUAGCGACCUGCCCCGACACCUCCCAGCCAAUGGGAAAUAGCGGGCGGGAGGGGGGCGGAGCGGCGACCGACGCUGGGUGUCAUUGAUUAGAUCGCUUCGGUGGGAGACGCGCUGCGUUCGUGGUGCUCGGGACGUGGGGCUUUGAACCCGCGUAGCGCAGCUUCCCAACCCUUACCCAACUCACCCCCUCCUCCCCCUCGCGCGGCUUUCCAUCCUUAAUGCCUUUUUUUUUUUUUUUUCACCCUUUGCUAUUAUUCCAUUUAUUUUAAUAACGUAUUAACAAGUCUUCAGUGAUAACGGGCAGAGAACAUAAGGAGAUGCGAAGGGCGCACUCCUCCUUCAAAGCACUGCGAAGGAGCACUCUCCCCCCUCCUCUCCACCCUCCCCUUUCCUCCCGCACCCCGGGGACUACUCCGCCCUGGGCUGCAGGGAGGAAGGGUGGAAGGGGGGAGCCUGCCCGCCCCCCACAUCAUCCCCCAAGCAGCCCUGAAGGAGCCGCCCCAGGCGGGUGUCGCCCACCCUGAAGGAAAGGAGCGCUGGGGGCGGCCCCCGGUGCGCUGCGGUGCAGUGCGGGGCGAACGGCUGCAGCGCCCUCCCCACCCGGCGCGGCACAACGCACUGCACGCCCCCCGCACAGCGCGGUCCGGCACGGCACGGAGGGAGGUUAUCGGGAGCGGGGGGAGGACUGAGGCUGGCAAGGUGAGAGCUCGGAGUGCCGGGAGGAAGCUGCCAUUUGUGAGCUGUGAGUGACGAGCGUCCUAUGAGGAUUUUUUUGUGUUAUUUUUGCCCUUUCUCCUGCUGAAGAGAUGUAAGGGAGAACGGCUUGGUGUGACAGUGGGCCGCCGAAACAACCCGUGGGCUACUGAGGUACAGUUUUGAAUGUGAGGUGGUGUGCAAUUUAUUGCCAGGCUGGAAAAUCCUUGUGACAUCUUUCAGGGCUGAUGGGAAUUCAAAAUGUACUUGGUGCUUUUAUUGGGCUGAAAGACACUCUGCAGAAAAUAAUAAUAAUCGUCAUAUAACACUGUUCCAUUCCAUUGAAAUUUCUCUGCCUUUGCUAAUGUUUGCUUAAUGUGUACUAGCACAGUACAUGUAUUGUAGAGUAACCAUUACUUCAAUUAGGAGACAUAAUAGGAAGUCGCUAAAAGAUUUUUUAAUGGUACUUUAUGUUAGUAUUUAGAUAUAUUAAAAAAUAAUGCUUUUUUCCGUUACUUUUUGGCACAACAGACUAAAUUGAAAUAAGAAGAUAACUGAUUAAAGCAAGCUGAUGGUUUUCUGAUUUUGCCAUGCAAAAUUGUCCUUUCACAGACUGCCGAUCGGAAACAGCGUUCAACAUGGAGAGAGCAAGAAGAAGCUUGAUACAGAAAAUGAGA